GCUUUGGUGGGGUAGUGGUAACCUGGGUCGUUGCCAUGGGCCAUGACUUGUGAUAGUCGUUCUAGUUUAUUCGACCCGCCGGGGGUUCGAUUCCCUCCCAAAGCA